rnacentral:tRNA from 1 species
UCGGGUAAUAGCGCAGUUGGUAGCGCGCCUGGUUCGGGACUAGGAGGUCGGCGGUUCGAAUCCGCCUUGCCCGAU